UGCAAGUCGCACGGAUCUUUCGGGAUCAGUGGCGGACGGGUGAGUAACGCGUAGGGAUCUAUCCAUGGGUGGGGGACAACUCCGGGAAACUGGAGCUAAUACCGCAUGAUACCUGAGGGUCAAAGGCGCAAGUCGCCUGUGGAGGAACCUGCGUUCGAUUAGCUAGUUGGUGGGGUAAAGGCCUACCAAGGCGAUGAUCGAUAGCUGGUUUGAGAGGAUGAUCAGCCACACUGGGACUGAGACACGGCCCAGACUCCUACGGGAGGCAGCAGUGGGGAAUAUUGGACAAUGGGCGAAAGCCUGAUCCAGCAAUGCCGCGUGUGUGAAGAAGGUCUUCGGAUUGUAAAGCACUUUCGACGGGGACGAUGAUGACGGUACCCGUAGAAGAAGCCCCGGCUAACUUCGUGCCAGCAGCCGCGGUAAUACGAAGGGGGCUAGCGUUGCUCGGAAUGACUGGGCGUAAAGGGCGCGUAGGCGGUUUAUGCAGUCAGAUGUGAAAUCCCCGGGCUUAACCUGGGAACUGCAUUUGAGACGCAUAGACUAGAGGUCGAGAGAGGGUUGUGGAAUUCCCAGUGUAGAGGUG
rnacentral:rRNA from 1 species